AAUUAUUCUCCAUGGCCGACACAGACACAGACCCACCUACCUCUUCCAGUCUGGAAGAGUUAACCAUGAAAAUGACUGAGGUCUUAACCGAAUCCUCAGUCCCGACCCCGACCACAGACUUUGUUGCUGAAGGGAUCAGCGACAAGAUUGACGGAACUAGAACUGAUGAAGGUUCAGGUAUUGCUCUCUUCAGUUCUUAUAGAGAUGGUGACCGCAACACUUGGAUACUUGAUUCUGGAGCCACAGAUCAUAUGACAUUUGAUGCGAAUGAUUU
rnacentral:lncRNA from 1 species